CUUGUUUUGUAAAAAGCACAAGGCAAAGCCGGUUCUUAACUCUCCUCUUCUGAAUCUUUUUUCUUUCUGCUACCCCUCCUUCAACCUCCUCACAGAUACCUCAAGUUCCCACGUCUUCUACCUCAAAAUUUGCCCUGAAGAAAGGGGUUAAGUGUCGUUUGUACUUGGAGUGAUUUAAAAGAGACUCCUAGUCUCCACCUGACUGCAUUGCUUCAUGGCACUGUGCUUUUGGACAUUUGAUAUCCUUCAGCUAGAAUAUAUUUCUUCAUUGUCCAUUCACAGGAGCCUUCCUUUCCUAAAGACUCAAUUAUACAACAUUCUUUCUACACUUAAACUUCAGAUGAACUGAUGCCAGCAGAAUAGACUCUUAUCUUGACAUAGGGGACCAGAGAAUUGGAGCUUCAGAGGACAGGAGCAGCCUCAUUUCCUGAAUCUUUCCUGGAUGCCUACAUGAAAAUGUCACGGGUAUCUCCAUUCCAAAUCCUUGCAGUAAAAAUCAUCAGAUAGUGUUCCCUCUGCAAUGAGAUAAUGUUGUGCCCAACAAAGUUUGCAGUUUGACUAAUUCCUAAUAUAUUCUGCAAGGAUAUAAUAAUCCCUACCUAACCCCUGUGCAUUUUUAGUAUUUUUAAUUUUUAAGCUCAUGAAAACUCAAGACUGAAAAUAAGUUCUCAAAACUAUUUGUGACUAAAAACAACAACAACAACAAAAUCCUUGCAUUCUGACUGUGCAAUUUGGGAGAUUCAGAAGAGCACUGGGUAAGAUUUCUUAAAGAACUCACAAUCUGGUUGGAAAGAUGGAUAUUGUAUAAUGCCAAAGAAUCACAAACAACGUAAUUCAGCAAUAAACUGUGAUACAGACUUACAGUAUCAGAGAAAUUCUCAGAAGAGUAUGACUAGAGGCUCUAUGAUUAGAGUGAGACCUUGAACACUGGGUAGAACACGACACAGUAGGUGGGUGGAUUUCCUAAGAGAAAGAGCAUCCCAGGCAAGGGAGAGCAAUGUGAGCAGAGACAUUGCACCUAGAAAUGGGUCUUGAUGUUCUAAAGGAUGAGGAGAUUUGAAAC
rnacentral:lncRNA from 1 species